UGUAUUCACUACUGUAAGUCACUCUGGAUAAGAGCGUCUGCUAAAUGACUAAAG
rfam:Salmo salar isolate Sally breed double haploid chromosome ssa18, whole genome shotgun sequence.